rnacentral:rRNA from 1 species
UACGUAGGUGGCGAGCGUUAUCCGGAUUUAUUGGGUUUAAAGGGUGCGUAGGCGGCGCUUCAGGUCAGCGGUGAAAUACCGGGGCUCAACCCCGGGGCUGCCGUUGAAACCGGAGCGCUAGAAUUCCGAUGCCGUCGGAGGAAUGUGUGGUGUAGCGGUGAAAUGCAUAGAUAUCACACAGAACACCGAUUGCGAAGGCAUCUGACGAAUCGGAGAUUGACGCUGAUGCACGAAAGCGUGGGUAUCGAACAGG